rnacentral:rRNA from 1 species
CCUACGGGAGGCAGCAGUGGGGAAUCUUGCGCAAUGGGCGAAAGCCUGACGCAGCAACGCCGCGUGCGGGAAGAAGGCUUUCGGGCUGUAAACCGCUUUCAGCAGGAACGAAAAUGACGGUACCUGCAGAAGAAGGAGCGGCCAACUAUGUGCCAGCAGCCGCGGUGAUACAUAGGCUUCAAGCGUUGUCCGGAUUUAUUGGGCGUAAAGAGUUCGUAGGCGGUCAAGUAAGUCGGGUGUGAAAAUUCUGGGCUCAACCCAGAGACGCCACCCGAUACUGCUUAACUUGAGUUCGAUAGGGGAGUGGGGAAUUCCUAGUGUAGCGGUGAAAUGCGCAGAUAUUAGGAGGAACACCGGUGGCGAAGGCGCCACUCUGGAUCGAUACUGACGCUGAGGAACGAAAGCAUGGGUAGCAAACAGGAUUAGAUACCCUGGUAGUCCAUGCCGUAAACGGUGGGCACUAGGUGUGGGUUUCUAUUAACGAAAUCCGNGCCGUCGCUAACGCAUUAAGUGCCCCGCCUGGGGGUGGUACGGUCGCGAGACGAAACGUACGAAGAAGUAGUAACGGCGUGAGACGUGCCGAGGACGACGACGAGGGAGGAGG